rnacentral:rRNA from 1 species
UCGGGAAUAUUGCGCAAUGGAGGAAACUCUGACGCAGCGACGCCGCGUAUAGGAAGAAGGUUUUCGGAUUGUAAACUAUUGUCGUUAGGGAAGAAAAAAUGACAGUACCUAAGGAGGAAGCUCCGGCUAACUACGUGCCAGCAGCCGCGGUAAUACGUAGGGAGCAAGCGUUAUCCGGAUUUAUUGGGUGUAAAGGGUGCGUAGACGGGCGAUCAAGUUAGUUGUGAAAUCCCUCGGCUCAACUGAGGAACUGCAACUAAACUGGUUGUCUUGAGUGCAGGAGAGGUAAGUGGAAUUCCUAGUGUAGCGGUGAAAUGCGUAGAUAUUAGGAGGAACACCAGUGGCGAAGGCGACUUACUGGACUGUAACUGACGUUGAGGCACGAAAGUGUGGGGAGCAAACAGGAUUAGAUACCC